GGAGACACACCGGAUCAGCCGGACACUUCGAGGGAGGCGGGCCAGCCAGGAGUAAGUCGAGGGGCUGGCUGGGGAGCACCCGGCGCGCGGGGAGCGAGGAGGGGUACGCGCGCCCAGCCCUCCCACGCACGCUCCGGUGAGCCGGCCGCCGGACGGACGGCCAGAUGGACGGCUAAGGAGCUCCCGUACCCGGACACUCGCGGCAGCGCCGGACAAAGGGCCAAACAUGCUCCGAGGCCGCUCCGUCCCCGCCUCGCGCUCCGGAGCCCGGGUUACCUGCUCAGAGCCAGCUGUGAUCUAAAGAAGCUUGACUCCCCUGCAGGAGAGAAAGGCCACCUGAAGAGAUCAAGCCCCUGGACGAUGGGAGACUUGAAGGGGGAGAGAGGAGUGCAGCUCUCUCCCAGCCACCCCAGCUGAGUAGCCGUGUGAAGCCAUCUUCUAUCCUUAGCGCCAGUUGAGCUGGCUGGCAGAGACCAGCUGCACCUGCCAAGCCCCGCCCAAGAUGCAGAAUGAGAGAAAGAGAAGUAGCAGAGGGAGCAGGCGAAGCAGACUCCCUGCUGAGCAGGGAGUCGGAUGUGGGACUCCAUCCCAGGACCCCAGGAUCAUGACCCAAGCUGAAGGCAGACGCUUAACCAACUGAGCCUCCCAGGCGCUCCUACAAAAAGUAUUCAAAAGAUAUUAAAUUAUAAAACAGCAUGCAUAUGUUACAAAAUGAUCUAAUUUCAUGAAAAUCCAAAACAAGCAAAGCUCUAUGAAAAAUGGAAA